rnacentral:rRNA from 1 species
UACAGAGGUCUCAAGCGUUGUUCGGAUUCAUUGGGCGUAAAGGGUGCGUAGGCGGCGCGGUAAGUCGGGUGUGAAAUCUCGGAGCUUAACUUCGAAACUGCAUUCGAUACUGCCGUGCUUGAGGACUGGAGAGGAGACUGGAAUUUACGGUGUAGCGGUGAAAUGCGUAGAUAUCGGGAGGAACACCUGUGGCGAAGGCGGCCCCCUGGUUGGAUACUGACGCUGAGGCACGAAGGUCAGGGGAGCAAACGGG